rnacentral:rRNA from 1 species
UACGAAGGGGGCUAGCGUUGCUCGGAAUCACUGGGCGUAAAGGGUGCGUAGGCGGGUUUUUAAGUCGGGUGUGAAAUCUUGGAGCUUAACUCCGAAACUGCAUUCGAUACUGCCGUGCUUGAGGACUGGAGAGGAGACUGGAAUUUACGGUGUAGCGGUGAAAUGCGUAGAUAUCGUAAGGAAGACCAGUGGCGAAGGCGGGUCUCUGGACAGUUCCUGACGCUGAGGCACGAAGGCCAGGGGAGCAAACGGG